GACGAACGCUGGCGGCGUGCUUAACACAUGCAAGUCGAACGGAAAGGCCCCUUUGGGGGUACUCGAGUGGCGAACGGGUGAGUAACACGUGAGUAACCUGCCCUUGACUUCGGGAUAACUUCAGCAAACUGGGGCUAAUACCGGAUAGGAAUCCUUUCUGCAUGGUGGGGGUUGGAAAGCUUCGGCGGUUUUGGAUGGACUCGUGGCUUAUCAGCUUGUUGGUGGGGUAGUGGCUUACCAAGGCUUUGACGGGUAGCCGGCCUGAGAGGGCGACCGGCCACAUUGGGACUGAGAUGCGGCCAAGAGUGCUACGGGAGGCAGAAGUGGGGAAUAUUGCACAAUGGGCGGACGCGUGAUGCAGCAACGCCGCGUGGUUGAUGACGGCCUUCGGGUUGUAAACCGCUUUCAGCAGGGGCGAAGCUUGUGGUGACGGUACCUGCAGAAGAAGCAACGGCUAACUACGUG
rnacentral:rRNA from 1 species